AUGAAGAUACUCGGGGCGCAAGGUAAUCCUUGUGCCACAACUCCAUAUAUAUUUCUCGUGCAGUUGCUCCUUCUUUGCCUGUGUUCAUUGUUCUGCACCGGUUUCCCCCAAUCAAACCCUACCAAAUGCCCCGGCAGCUCCGUCGACAUCCCAUCCCCUUUCAACAUCCUUGGCAACUCGAGCAUCUCGAGCAAUCCAUACUUCAACAUAUCAUGUGAAUCAACAGGGCCAACGCUAUCGUUCGGUGGCAAGCAGUACAGGGUCCUGGGCAUCUCGCUGCCCCAGGGCUAUGUACGUGUAACCGGCGACACCGUCUACACCCAGUGCCAGCAGAACGCUGGCCCGGUGACCACAAACUUCAUCAACCUUCAGGGCACGCCUUUCACCUUCUCACACACACUAAACAAGUUCACCGUCGUUGGCUGUGACUCCAUGGCCAUGAUACAAAGCCCGGACGUAACGAGCCGGUACAGGGGAGGCUGCGUGUCGUUCUGCGCUUCCGAGGGAAGCAUCAGCAGUGGCGCAUGCUCGGGGGUGGGCUGCUGCCAAGCUUCAGUGCCCGAGCAACUCAAGGUACUGAACUUAGAGUUUACCAGCAUACGGAGCCAACUCCUGCAGUCCUCCGGAUCUUUGGGGAACAUCAGUAAAAGCAGUAGCGCAUGGUGCAGCAAGGCGUUCAUCGUGGACCAAGGUUCCUAUGUGUUCUCCAGGGAUCACUUGGACAGAAACCUGACGAACCUGCCAAUGGUACUUGACUGGUCUAUAUCCGGCGGCAGCUGCUCAGAGGCGCGUAGUGCGCCUCAGACCUACAUGUGCAAGGAGAACACCGAUUGUUAUACCGUGGCAAAUAACACCGCGUACCGCUGCAACUGUUCUGCAGGUUUCACUGGGAACCCUUAUCUGGGAUGGCAAGGAUAUAUGCCUUAUUCUGAUUUCCCUUUCUCUACAAGUGCAUCAACAGACUUGGUGGUUUUAACUGUACAUGCCCGAUGGGCAUGACGGGGGAUGGUAAGAAGCAAGGCAAUGGGUGCAGUAGAGAUAAAACACUACUGAUUGCCGCAGGUGGAGGCCUGCCUUUGCUGCUUGUUCUCCUCAUGCUCGGAUUCUGGACCCACUGGCUUUUCACGAAGAGAAAGCUUGCGAAGAUAAGACAGAAAUUCUUUUUGCAGAAUGGUGGCAUGCUCCUGAAGCAGCAGAUGUUUUCUCAGAGGGCGCCGUUGAGGAUAUUCACGUCUACCGAGCUUGAAAAGGCAACCAACAGAUUCAGUGAUGACAACAUAGCUGGGCGAGGUGGAUUUGGGACGGUCUACAAAGGCGUACUAUCUGAUCAAAUGGUCGUGGCGAUCAAGAAGGCGCAGCGAGUCGAUCAGAGCCAGGUGGAACAAUUCGUCAAUGAGAUGGUCAUUCUUUCACAAGUCAACCACGAGAAUGUGGUCCAGCUAGUUGGUUGUUGUCUCGAGUCAGAAGUGCCAUUGCUGGUUUAUGAAUUCAUCACCAACGGGGCCCUUUUUCACCACCUCCACAACACAUCAGUCCCGAUGCCGUGGAAGGAACGCCUAAGGAUUGCAGUGCAAACUGCAACAGCACUUGCUUACUUGCACAUGGCUACAGAAAUGCCAAUUAUUCACGGAGAUGUCAAUUUCAGAUUCAGUUGGUAUAUUGAUGUGGAAAGAUGUGGGAAACAACACCGAGAGCAAAUAAGAGCCUCUUCUUGAGAGUCUCGGUGCGACGAGGAAAUGGAUACUGUUUAUGAACUAAGCUAGCUGUUUGUAAUAGUUGGUGGCCCACAUAUGGCUUGCCGGUAAGACCAAAGACAAAGUACUUCUGAUCAUAUAAUUGAAGAAUGA
rnacentral:rRNA from 1 species